CGUUCGGGCGCGCGUUCCGCUCGUGCAUCAGCGCGGCGAUGUGAUCGUGCUGCGCCCCGGUCUGCUCCUCCAAGGCGUCGAUCCUGCGGCGCAGUUCUGCGCGCGCGUCGUCGGCAGGA
rnacentral:misc_RNA from 1 species